GAACUCAGUAUUAGUGCAAAGACGGUGGAAGUAAACGCCUCCGUAGCAGCUGCGUAAACAGAACGUGAGUCUUUUUGAAAUGUUCGUUUUAUCCUUUUAUGCAAACUUAUUCUUAUUAAGCAGCGCCUAACACAGUCUACUGUCUGUUUGUAGCUUCAGCCUGGUGUCUGCAUGUAACCCUGGCUUGGUGUCUUUUUAUAUGGUGACCAGUAAAUGGUGCACACAACCACGAGUCUACUGACACGUGAUCGCAUAACUGCGAUUUGUGAGUCACACGGGGUAGCAGCAAGGACAGAAAGCUCACGUCAGGUGAGAGUGCACUGCUUCGCGUCAUCCACGUGAACGCAUUGGUACUGGAGUUGUAGGUCUAGUUCAUCUAGGCUGGCCCAAACACGAGGAUUGCCGUCGUCUGUUCGACCAGUCACUGUUUUUCCCAGGACCGAAUUUGUCUACUUGUAUCUAUUUUGAAUGUAACCUACGAGUGCUAUAAACAUCUGCCACCCGUAUCGUGGGCAAAUUGGGAGACUAGGGGGAAGGCCGGCUAGUGGUAGCCCUUUAACCCAAAUUGUUUUGUCUUUUGUUUGUUAUUUUGUUUAUUAUAUCUUUCUUGUGUGGCCCAUGGGCAUUUUUACAUCAUCUCUUGUGGGAACAGUAUUUGUUUUCAGUGUCUUAGUGUUUGUUUUCAGUGUUUUUGUGUUUUUUUCAUUUGCUGUUAACUGCAUGGGUUUUAUUGCACUUGUUGCUAACCAGCAUGUUCAUUGAUUAUUGUACAAUAAAUGUUUAUUGAUUGCAUCAGUCCCAUUUCUGUGCCUUCAUUGGACA